rnacentral:snoRNA from 1 species
UGGCAAUGAUGAUAAAUCUAUGGCUUGUUUCUCACAACAUUCGCAGUUGCCGCCUAAGAGCUUUCGCCCUGCCAGGCUUGAGAGCUGUUGACACCUGAUUUUGGCA